rnacentral:lncRNA from 1 species
UUUGUCUCUAAACUACCACACUGUCUCCCUUUUUAGAAGGGGAGAGGAUACCUUGCAGGGGCAGGCAUAAUAAAUAUGAAGAAUAAUAAGGUAUCUUAGACUACCCCAACAUACAUACAUACAUAGAUAUAUAUAUAUAUAUAUAUAUAUAUAUAUAUAUAUAUAUAUAUAUAUAUAUAUAUAUAUAUAUAUUUAUUGUUAACCUUUGAUUCGCAGAGAAAUGGAUCCUGUUAAUCCAAAUUUCGACAGAAAGGUGAGUACAACCUAACUAAUAAUUAUUCUAUUCAAAAUAUAUUUUAUUUGAAUAAAUAAUUGUAAUUUAUAUUUUUUUGCCUCAAUGAUAUAUUUUUAACUUCUCCAAGUAAAUUCAUUUGUUAAAUGUUUGUAGAAAUAAGAAAGUAAUAAAAUUAUCACUUAUUUGAAAAAUUUAUUGUCUUAUUUUUACCCUCUCUGUAAAAACUAUAAAGAGAGUUUUGUUAUGAUAAAAAUGGAAUUAAAUCAUAUUUGUAAGGCCAGCCUACAUAUUCCUAAUAUUAAGGACAUGAGCCAAACAAACUUCCAUAAAUCAUUUGAUUUGCAAACCUUCUAUGUUGUGUACAUAAGUACGACUCUCCAUAGCAUUUUUCAGUUUCUUGCUAUUCUAAUUCUACUACUACCAGUUUCAAUGAUACAAUGCAGAGAAAGCCCUGCGUAAUCACAUUACUGGCAGAAAGAUACAUGUUCUGAAAUUUAGUAGAAAACAGGCAACUCUCAAAAAGGAGAAAACAAACAUUUCAGCCUGACACAAUUCUCAAAACAGAUCGAGAACACUCCAUAAAGCAUAUGACACUUGAACAUCAUUAAAGUUCACAAGUUGCUUAAACAAACAGUACCAAGUAUAAAACAACAGCACCAUCAAGGACCCAAAAUUUCAUAAGAAUAACUAAAUACUUUUAAAGAGGAAGAAGAACCUAGCAGAUUUUCAACUCUACAAGUCAAAAAAACAACGUCAAGGGAAGUGUGUUUUCAGUCAGGAAGGAUUUGCUCGCCGUCGGCAUCUCCCUCAGUAUCAAUCUUAGGCUUUGAAGGGCCUGCUCCAGGGGCCUGCUUUUUCUUGAUUCCACUCACUAUAUCAUCAAUUCUCAGAAGCAUGCAUGCAGCUUCAAUGGCAGUCUUAAAAGUUUGUGCCUUCACAUUAUAGGCAUCCCAGAUCUAGCACCAUAAUACAAAACAUUAUCAGAGCUCAAUUACAAAGAUAUAUACAGUUACAAGACAACUAAGCAUGUGGCAUGUGCUCAGUAAAUCAAAAUAACAGUGUUUAGUGAUUACAAGUUGCAAAGGUAUUUCCAUUGUAAUGAAAUAAACAUGGAUUUCUUCACUGUGUUGCUUGCCUCUUUUAGAAAUAAAUGGAUAACAAAG